rnacentral:misc_RNA from 1 species
UCCCCGUUUCACAGGGCAGUCUGAUCAGAGUGCUCGGCCAAAGGCCGGUGGCAACAGAUCACAAGGGUUGCGCUCGUUGCGGGACUUAACCCAACAUCUCACGACACGAGCUGACGACAGCCAUGCAGCACCUGUGCAAAUUGUCCCUUGCGGGACUCGACGGCUUUCACCGCCUUAGAGAUGCAUGUCAAGCCUAGGUAAGGUUCUUCGCGUUGCAUCGAAUUAAGCCACAUACUCCACCGCUUGUGCGGGCCCCCGUCAAUUUCUUUGAGUUUUAAUCUUGCGACCGUACUCCCCAGGCGGCAUGUUUAACGCGUUAGCUCCGGCACGGAAGGGGUCGAUUCCUCCCACACCAAACAUGCACCGUUUACUGCCAGGACUAC